rnacentral:rRNA from 1 species
CCUACGGGUGGCAGCAGUGGGGAAUAUUGCACAAUGGGGGAAACCCUGACGCAGCAACGCCGCGUGAGUGAAGAAGGCCUUCGGGUUGUAAAGCUCUUUAAUCAGGGACGAAAAUUGACGGUACCCGACGAAUAAGCUCCGGCUAACUACGUGCCAGCAGCCGCGGUCAGUCGGAGGGGGCAAGCGUUAACCGGAUUUACUGGGUGUAAAGGGAGUGUAGGGGGGUAUGCAAGCCAGAAGUGAAAUCUUGGGGCUCAACCCCCAAACUGCUGUGGGAACUGCGCGGCUGGAGUGCUGGAGAGGCAGGCGGAAUUCCUAGUGUAGCGGUGAAAUGCGUAGAUAUUGGGAGGAACACCAGUGGCGAAGGCGGCCUGCUGGACAUUAACUGACGCUGAGGCGCGAAAGCGUGGGGAGCAAACAGGAUUAGAUACCCCGGUAGUC